rnacentral:rRNA from 1 species
AAAGGUCCCGCCUGCCCAGUGAAAUUUAUUUUUAACGGCCGCGGUAUUCUAACCGUGCAAAGGUAGCGUAAUCACUUGUCUUCUAAAUAAAGACUAGUAUGAACGGCUAAAUGAGGGUAAGACUGUCUCUUAUAAUUAAUCAGUGAAACUGACCUUCCAGUACAAACGCUGGAAUAAACACAUAAGACGAGAAGACCCCGUGGAGCUUAAAACUAAUCACUAACACAUUAUUACCCUAGUGCACUGUUUUCAGUUGGGGCGACUUCGGAAUAAAACAAAACUUCCGAGCACAGAAUCACCACUUCCUACUAAGGCCAACAAGCCCAAGUACAACCUGACCCGGCUCCAAUGCCGAUCAACGAACCAAGUUACCCCGGGGAUAACAGCGCUAUCUUCUUCAAGAGUCCCUAUCAACAAGAAGGUUUACGACCUCGAUGUUGGAUCAGGACACCCAAAUGGUGCAGCCGCUAUUAAAGGUUCGUUUGUUCAACGAUUAACAGUCCUACGUGAUCUGAGUUCAGACCGGAGAAAUCCAGGUCGGUUU